UACGGAGGGUGCAAGCGUUAAUCGGAAUUACUGGGCGUAAAGCGUGCGUAGGCGGUUACAUAAGUCGGGUGUGAAAGCCCCGGGCUCAACCUGGGAAUUGCAUUCGAGACUGCGUAGCUAGGGUGCGGAAGAGGGAAGCGGAAUUUCCGGUGUAGCGGUGAAAUGCGUAGAUAUCGGAAGGAACACCAGUGGCGAAAGCGGCUUCCUGGUCCAGCACCGACGUUCAGGCACGAAAGCGUGGGGAGCAAACAGG
rnacentral:rRNA from 1 species